GACGAACCGUGCGAACGUUGUUCGGAAUCACUGGGCUUAAAGGGCGCGUAGGCGGGCCGGCAGGUCAGGGGUGAAAGCCCGCGGCUCAACCGCGGAAGCGCCCCUGAUACCGCCGGCCUCGAGGGGGGCAGGGGCGUGCGGAACUUCCGGUGGAGCGGUGAAAUGCGUAGAUAUCGGAAGGAACGCCGGUGGCGAAAGCGGCGCGCUGGGCCCCUUCUGACGCUGAGGCGCGAAAGCCAGGGGAGCGAACGGG
rnacentral:rRNA from 1 species